ensembl:lncRNA
AGUGUGAAGAGCAGAGAUGGAUCUAGGGCGGCGGGGAGUCAUGCAAGCUGUGAGCAAUCAAUCAAUCAUUUUAUACUGAGGAAGAAUAAAAUGAGAUGUAAAGGCAGUUCUCUCUGUACAGGUAGAGUGGGAAAAAAAAACCAAAAACAUCUUAUUUGGAAGUGCUUUGAUUCAUGGCUGUGUGCAUCCAGUCAGUAAACAUAAAGGAAAACAACAGAAUGAAACCAAAGACUGAUCUGUGAAGACAGUAGUUCUCCGAUUAUGUUCAACUUCCUUCACACAGCAGAGGAUGAAGAAUUCUUCACAAAGCCACUCAGAGACAUGUCUAAACUACAAACAUUUGAAAUUAGAAGCUUCGCACACUAACCAUGGAAAUAUGCCCUGUGUACCAUCAGCCUAGAUGUCAAAGUUGGAUUUGCUAACAAAACUCUCAUAAGUGAAACUACUGAGGACCUUAUUCUACUAUGAUUAAGUGUGAGAAGAGCACGCUUCAGAAACAGCAUAAGAGCAU